AGGUGAAUAAAAUCUUGUUUUAAGGCUGAACAAGCAGGUUAACCUUAUCAAGGAUGAUCUUGAAUUCCAGUGGCCACAGUGGAGAACUUUUAACCUAGACAAGCUUAUCCAUUUACAGGUGCCCUAGAGAAAAAGGGAUCUCACUAUAAAGGGUAGAGGGAAAUUAUUUUUCCUUAUUGACAACUUCUUGUGACCAGUAUGAGACCCACUAAGACACCCUGUUUGCUCCAGAGCGUGCAGAUGGGAUCCUGGGAAAACUGGCAGAAGCUGGCAAAAGGGUCAGCUAUUGCCUUCUUGUUUGCCUUGCUUUGUGUCCUGAGAACUUGGCUUGGGUUUCUGCCUGAUUGAGGCAUGCAGGUUCUUGCGUGUGCAGGCAGCUCAAAUGUCAGGUUGGGGGUCCCAAAAAUACAGCCGGACAGAAAUCUCCUCCAACAAGGGUAAACCUGACCAACUAGUCAUUAAAUCCCUGGUGGCCUGUGACUUUCCUUGGCCAAUAGAAUGUGGUCUCAAGAAGCAUUACUUGCUUCCACUCUCUUCCCUGGAACACUGCCAAGCCUCCAAAUGAACAUUUCCAACCUAGCCUGUCAGAAGAUGGAAGAUACUUGGCCUGGUUACUCACAUUGCCACAGCCAACAGCUAGUCAAACACCAGGCAUGUGUGCAAUGCCAGAUUAGAUAGUCAGCUCAGGCAACCUUACAACUGAUCUCAGACACAUAAGAAAGCCUGAGAUCAACCAAGCCUGGCCUAGAUGGGCAGACCCAUAGACUCAUCAGUGAUAUUAAUGAUUGUUUUAAGGCUUGGAAAAUUUGAGCCCAUAGAUUGUCCCCUUGCUUUUGUAAAUAAAGUUUUAUUAGAACACUGCCACACCCAUUUGUUUAUGUAUUGUCUGCAGCUGCUUUCAUGCUACAACAGUAGCAUCAACCAAUGGCAAUAGAGACCUUAAUGACCUACAAAGCCAAAAAUAUCAUCUGGCCAUUUAUAGAAAAGGUUUGCUGACCCCUAUUUUAAGCCACUACAUUUUGAGGUGGAUUGUUAACCAAGAACAUGUGAAUAUAUCCUUUUGGCAAAAUAUUUCCAGAAAUGUUUGCUUUCAUUAAAUACAGUAUCCUAUUGUAUUGUUAUUUCUAAUUUAUAAUAAUUUCUAGACCUUCUAAGUUUUACAACUACUUGUUAAACAAAUAUUUAAUUAUUGAGUAUCCAAUAUAAGCCAUCACUCCACUAGGUGCUAGCGAUAUAG
rnacentral:lncRNA from 1 species